GUGAAAUCAAUGAACACUUUCAUUAUAUCAAGAAUUUAUAGUACUAUCGUUCUCAUUGAUUAAACGUUCCAAAAUAAUAUUUCAAUGAUUUCACUUGUAAUCACAUGUAAAUGUGAUUUAACGAAGAAACUGAGCCCUGAAAAAUAUUAGAGCGGGAAGAAGAACUAUUUUCUAGGCAUAGGAGACUCUAAUACAUCGUAAUCGGUAAAUUACGUAAAUGCCGCAUGCCAUGAACGAACCUAAAGGUCAGUCAGUCCGAGAUCUUACAUAAUCGCAAGGCGAAAGGUUGACCCAUCUUUACACCGCAGCCUCCGACUGAGAUCGUCCGAGGCGCGUAUCAGCCGUUUUAAGGAUCCAGAAGGAGUGGAGUGUGUUCUCGCUCGCAACAAGAAGAAGAUGAUCCAAAGAAGAAAAAAAGGAAGAAGAAGAUGGGAAUGAAGAAGAAAGAAGAAAAAGAAGAAGAAGAAGAUCGGCGAUGCUGAGAGAGCCAAGUCGAGACGUGCUGGUAAUCGCCAGGCUGUCGUUAUUAAAUAUGAUUGCGCAACUCGAAAAGCGGCUCCAAAGGACGCGUAUUAUGACACUAUGGCAUGUAGUCGCGCUUCUAUGGGGCACACUGCGUCAUAUCUCGAUGUGUAUGACGAUACCUCUCUCUUUCUCUUUUUCUCUCUCUCUCUCUCUCUCUCUCUCUCUCUCUCUCUUUCUCUCUGUCUGUCUGUCUGUUUCUGUCUCUGUCUCUUUACCAGACUCGUAUUGCAGGUAAUACGCCUGCGAUCAGGGGCGUACACGAGCCUGGAUCGAUAUCUUCUUACGUAGAUAUUAUUAUUCUCCAUUCGUUCAGAGACGUCUCGAUCGAUCUCGUCCAUCCUUUGCUCGAAUAACUUCUAUAACUACAUAUAUAUAUAUUAUGCAGAUACAACAUCUUUGGAUGGAUCAGACUAGCUUGAAUUUCGUCCUUCUCUCUUUUUUCUUUUUCCAUCUUUUGUUGGAGAACGAAAAAAAAGUAUAGAAAAAAAAAAGAUAAAAGAAAAACCAUGAAGAAACAGGAAAGAACAAACAUGUUUUUUUCCUUCCGAAGAAGAUACCCAUUCGACGAGACAUCCUUUUCAUCGUCUACGAUUUCUCGUAACGAUAUCCUUUACGACUUAUAUCGAAUGCUUAAGCAUGUAUCGUUAUAUAUAUAUAUAUAUGUAUAUAGGUAUAUAAUGAAUGAACGGAUAUCUCAACCAAAAGCGAUAUCGUUGCUUAACUAAGCGGAUUUUUAUCAUUGCAAAAAGACGUAAACGCCCAGGUAAUAUUAUAUAAACUUCAACGAUCUUAGCUCAUCGAGAGAGACUAGUUAACACCACCUAUCAAGACUUCUAUGAUAUAAAGAAAGAAGGAGAACAAUAUAGUAACAAAAUGCUUCUCGAUUAAAUUCCCUCUUAAACGAAGAUCCAUUCAAUUCAUUGGAAUGCAUUCAUAUUUAUUAUCGCCAAUACAAAUUCUAUUUAUAAAAUGAUCGUUUAUCAUCGAUUCGCGACCUAUCCAAAAGUCGAUGUUCAAUCGAUCCGUUUGACGUUAGGAAAUGCACACGCGUGCUUUUCCGCAUUAUAAUCGAUCCCUGGUAUGGUAUAUCUCGGUGUAUAGAUUAUAUUAUGCGAAAUCUUCUAUACGUGACUUUUUUAGAAACGUACGAGAAGAUGCACGAAUACAAAAUGAUAUAUAGAUAUACAUAUA